GGUAAAUAGUUCGAAAAUGUUGUGUCACUAUUAUAUUAAGUAAGAUGGCUUUGGACAACUGGAAGAGACUUUACUCCAACACCAAAACUAACUUCCAUGAGGUUGCGAUCAAAGCUAUAAUAUUUUUAACUGUCAAAACGACUGAGGAUGAAGGAACACAAAGUUCUCUUAAUUGUUUUUGGAAUUGGUUUAGUUUUCGAUUGAUUGGUGGCAGGCUGGAAUCAUCCUCUACUACAUGCUUACCGACGGAUUUUCUGAUCAAUUAGCAAAAUUAGUUUAGUCGGUGGUCUAAAUGUCAACUACCAAUCAAGGCACUGGCGAACGUACGUUUCUGGAUCCACUUUGUGGCGAAGGCUACCCGUUAGAUGGGACAAGAUUGUGAUAGUGGUGAUGAAUGAGGUUCAUUUUAGCACAGUCCAUAUCUAGCUGAAUCUGUUACUAGAGGAACUCCUGCUGUGAAUGAGCGGGUCAGGAAAGUCAGCUUAGACCAAGUUGCUCAACUUCCAAGCCUAUUAUGUAUCUGGUUAUGACUUGAGCAUUGAUAUAGAUCCAACAAUGGAAGACAGUUACGUUUUUCGUAUUUAGUAUUUAGUAUGAUAGUUUCGGUUCUUACCACUUGAUAUUUGUUUGCCUUGUGUUACAUUGUUAGUGCCAAACAUAUGAACAUCGCCAGGCUUAUAGCUGUUUUAACUUAAAAAUUAGAGUACGAUGCCAUUUUCGUCCCUGAGGUUUUGGCCACUUUUGUGACUUUCGACCAAAGGUUUGUUUUUCCGCAUCUGGAUCCAAAAGGUUUGAAAUCUUGCCAUUUUUCAUCCGACUCAUUAACUCCAUCCGUUUUUCUCCGUUAAAUGAGGGGCAUUUCUGUCUUUUUAUGCAUUUUUUGUUAAAAUAAAACACUAUAAGAAAUAAAUAUCUACCUCUGUUUACUUUCUCCCCACCCAAACCUAUUAAUCAUCAUAAAAAUGUCUAAAAAGACAAAUACCCCCGACCUAACGUUAAAAAAUGGAUGGAGUAACGAGUCGGAUGAAAAUGCCAACAUUUCAGACCUUUGGGAUCUAGAUGCGGAAAAUAAACCUUUGGACGAAAGUCGCAAAACAAAAGCCAAACCUCAGGGACGACAAUGGCAUUUUACUCUAAAAGUUAUAUGCACAUUAGCUUCAACAAGUGGUUGGGUCAAAAUGGUCACCUUUAACGUACACGUUAGGUUGUCCAAAAACACUUUUUAUCCAAAAAUAUUGCAUCUUUUUGUAAGUAGUGCGUUUAAAGU